rnacentral:sRNA from 1 species
GCGAUGAGCUGAGUUGUGUAAGUCGAGAAACAUUCCUUAUGGAGCACACUAUGUGGAGUGUGGUUUUUCGCCUCAAUACGCAAAGACGUCUGUGUAUGCAGACGUC